CUACGGGAUGCACCAGUGGGGAAUAUUGGACAAUGGGGGAAACCCUGAUCCAGCAAUGCCGCGUGUGUGAAGAAGGCCUGCGGGUUGUAAAGCACUUUCGGUUGGGAGGACUGCUUCUAGCACUAAUAUUGUUGGAAGUUGACGUUACCUUCAGAAGAAGCACCGGCUAACUCCGUGCCAGCAGCCGCGGUAAUACGGAGGGUGCAAGCGUUAAUCGGAAUUACUGGGCGUAAAGCGAGUGUAGGUGGCUCAUUAAGUCACAUGUGAAAUCCCCGGGCUUAACCUGGGAACUGCAUGUGAUACUGGUGGUGCUAGAAUAUGUGAGAGGGAAGUAGAAUUCCAGGUGUAGCGGUGAAAUGCGUAGAGGUCUGGAGGAAUACCGAUGGCGAAGGCAGCUUCCUGGCAUAAUAUUGACACUGAGAUUCGAAAGCGUGGGUAGCAAACAGGAUUAGAUACCCCAGUAGUC
rnacentral:rRNA from 1 species